UACGUAGGGCGCAAGCGUUGUCCGGAAUUAUUGGGCGUAAAGAGCUCGUAGGCGGUCUGUUGCGUCCGCUGUGAAAACUCGGGGCUUAACCCCGAGCCUGCAGUGGAUACGGGCAGACUAGAGGUAGGUAGGGGAGAAUGGAAUUCCCGGUGUAGCGGUGAAAUGCGCAGAUAUCGGGAGGAACACCGGUGGCGAAGGCGGCAUCCUGGACCAACAUUGACGCUGAGGAGCGAAAGCCAGGGGAGCAAACGGG
rnacentral:rRNA from 1 species